rnacentral:rRNA from 1 species
UAGGGAAUCUUGCGCAAUGGGCGAAAGCCUGACGCAGCCAUGCCGCGUGAAUGAUGAAGGUCUUAGGAUUGUAAAAUUCUUUCACCGGGGAAGAUAAUGACGGUACCCGGAGAAGAAGCCCCGGCUAACUUCGUGCCAGCAGCCGCGGUAAUACGAAGGGGGCUAGCGUUGCUCGGAAUUACUGGGCGUAAAGGGCGCGUAGGCGGAUAUCUAAGUUGGGGGUGAAAGCCCGGGGCUCAACCUCGGAAUAGCCUUCAAUACUGGAUAUCUUGAGUUCGGGAGAGGUGAGUGGAAUGCCGAGUGUAGAGGUGAAAUUCGUAGAUAUUCGGCGGAACACCAGUGGCGAAGGCGACUCACUGGCCCGAUACUGACGCUGAGGCGCGAAAGCGUGGGGAGCAAACAGGAUUAGAUACCCUGGUAGUCCACGCCGUAAACGAUGAGUGCUAGUUGUCGGCAUGCAUGCAUGUCGGUGACGCAGCUAACGCAUUAAGCACUCCGCCUGGGGAGUACGGUCGCAAGAUUAAAAACUUAAAGGAAUUGACGGGGGUCAUAGCUGUUUCCUG